rnacentral:rRNA from 1 species
AACCAACCCUGUACAAACGGAUAAAAGACCGAAAGGUAUGCAAAAACGGGAUAAUAUAUUUGAAGGGCAUAUCUUAAAGAUCAAAGGUGAGCCAGUACAGGAUGGACCCGCGUCUGAUUAGCUAGUUGGUAAGGUAACGGCUUACCAAGGCGACGAUCAGUAGCCGACAUGAGAGGGUGAUAGGCCACAUUGGAACUGAGACACGGUCCAAACACCCAUGGGAGUCAGCAGUGGGGAAUAUUGCAAUAAGGGAGAAAGCCUGAUGCAGCAACGCCGCGUGGGCGAUGAAGGCCGUCGGGUCGUAAAACUCAGCCCUCAAGGAGGCUCAUGACGGUACUUGAAGUGGAAGCCACGACUAACUA